rnacentral:rRNA from 1 species
UACAGAGGUCCCAAGCGUUGUUCGGAUUCAUUGGGCGUAAAGGGUGCGUAGGUGGCGCUGUAAGUCGGGUGUGAAAUUUCGGAGCUUAACUCCGAAACUGCAUUCGAUACUGCGGUGCUCGAGGACUGGAGAGGAGACUGGAAUUCAUGGUGUAGCAGUGAAAUGCGUAGAGAUCAUGAGGAAGACCAGUGGCGAAGGCGGGUCUCUGGACAGUCCUGACACUGAGGCACGAAGGCCAGGGGAGCAAACGGG